GACGGAGGGUGCAAGCGUUGUUCGGAAUUACUGGGCGUAAAGCGCGGGCAGGUGGCCAACUAAGUCAGACGUGAAAUCCCUCGGCUUAACCGGGGAACUGCGUCUGAUACUGGAUGGCUUGAGAUUGGGAGAGGGAUGCGGAAUUCCAGGUGUAGCGGUGAAAUGCGUAGAUAUUGGGAGGAACACCAGUGGCGAAGGCGGCUCACUGGACCGGAACUGACGCUGAGGCACGAAGGCCAGGGGAGCAAACGGG
rnacentral:rRNA from 1 species